rnacentral:rRNA from 1 species
AGUGAACGCUGGCGGUAGGCCUAACACAUGCAAGUCGAACGGCAGCACAGUAAGAGCUUGCUCUUACGGGUGGCGAGUGGCGGACGGGUGAGGAAUACAUCGGAAUCUACUUUUUCGUGGGGGAUAACGUAGGGAAACUUACGCUAAUACCGCAUACGACCUACGGGUGAAAGCAGGGGAUCUUCGGACCUUGCGCGAUUGAAUGAGCCGAUGUCGGAUUAGCUAGUUGGCGGGGUAAAGGCCCACCAAGGCGACGAUCCGUAGCUGGUCUGAGAGGAGGAUCAGCCACACUGGAACUGAGACACGGUCCAGACUCCUACGGGAGGCAGCAGUGGGGAAUAUUGGACAAUGGGCGCAAGCCUGAUCCAGCCAUACCGCGUGGGUGAAGAAGGCCUUCGGGUUGUAAAGCCCUUUUGUUGGGAAAGAAAAGCAGCAGGUUAAUACCCCGCUGUUCUGACGGUACCCAAAGAAUAAGCACCGGCUAACUUCGU